GGGAAAAUGACUCAACAGUUAAGAGCACUGGCUGCUUUUCCAGAGGACCUGGGUUCAAUUCCCAGUACCCA
rnacentral:tRNA from 1 species